UACGUAGGGGGCAAGCGUUGUCCGGAUUUAUUGGGCGUAAAGAGCGUGUAGGCGGCCAGGUAGGUCAGCUGUGAAAACUCGAGGCUCAACCUCGAGACGUCGGCGGAAACCAUCUGGCUAGAGUCCGGAAGAGGAGAGUGGAAUUCCUGGUGUAGCGGUGAAAUGCGCAGAUAUCAGGAGGAACACCGGUGGCGAAGGCGGAUCUCUGGGCCAUUACUGACGCUGAGGAGCGAAAGCGUGGGGAGCGAACAGG
rnacentral:rRNA from 1 species